rnacentral:rRNA from 1 species
UACGUAGGGGGCGAGCGUUGUCCGGAAUCAUUGGGCGUAAAGCGCGUGUAGGCGGCUCGAUAAGUCCGGUGUGAAACCUUGGGGCUCAACCCCAAGCCUGCACUGGAUACUGUCGAGCUAGAGUCCGGAAGAGGCGAGUGGAAUUCCUGGUGUAGCGGUGAAAUGCGCAGAUAUCAGGAGGAACACCAAUAGCGAAGGCAGCACACUGGUACGUGACUGACGCUGAGACGCGAAAGCGUGGGGAGCAAACAGG